AGGUACUCCAUUGUCUGACGGAUCUGAGAACGCUGUCUGGGCUUCGUGCCAAGGGCUGGUAUUCACACAGCAACGACGGCCUCACAGAAGAGCUGUGGGAAGCAGGAGGGAGAGCCUCUCUUAGGGUGCCACUACUAUGGAGACACAGCUGGGCUGAACAAGAUUUGCUUCAAACGACAACAAGAGAGACAGAAAGUAUCUAAUUCAACCGCUGCCCAAGCAGGCAGGCACCAGAAGAGCUAGCAGCCAAUCCGGCCAUGCUCGAAGCCAGUCCUGCAGCUCAGCCAAUCAGUGACAUCAUUGGACAUCUCUUCAGAUUGCUCAUCAUGAUAUGAAGAUGAAACUUAAUAGCAAGAACUAAUGGAUGCUUUUCUUGGAUUCAGUCCAACACUCUGGAGACCAGAUCUUCAGGAAUGUAACUGGGAUAAUUGUCCAAAUCAAAUCCCAUGCCCUGUCAUGCACACCAGAAUAGAGGUCCUGUCUUACUAAGCACUAUACAGUAUGGAGAGAUCCUGCCAAACCCGUCGGGACGAAUAACAGAUGAAUUCGUAAAACUGUUCAUCUCUGUUAUCCUGAAUGGUCGCUCAGACAACAUUUUACUCAACUAUAAAGGGGAACACUUAAAGUGCAUAUGAGAAGAGAAGAGAAUGACCACAGGAGAAAAUCAU
rnacentral:lncRNA from 1 species